AUGUUUAUACAUGGUUUACCUUAAUUUAUCUGCAUCGAUACCAACAUAAAUCUACAGAAUUAACCGCUACAGUCGACAAACAAAUAAACAGUAACAUCAUAGUUAAAGGAUUGGUAAACGGCUGGGCAAUGCGUACCAGCAGUACACCCGUACUAGUUGGCAUAAAAUAGACCCCAGUGUGGUCCAUAGCAUAAUGCCCAGCAACUCCUAUCCCUACCUCCACGUGGUACCGACUGGGAUACGAGCAACCAAGGGAAGAUCGGUUAUCCGGUGGGAACUUGGUCGUAUGCUGACAGGGAAGGGGGAGUUGUUCUCCUUGGAGAGCAGCUUGCCUGAGCGUCUGUUCCCCAGGUCAGGGGCGGCUCAAACAGCGACUGAUCCGGAGCGGACGGCUGAACUAUGAAAUGCGGUGUCUCGCCAGCUACACCCAAGACGGCAGCCCCGUCGCGAGACUAGGCAUCGCAGCCCUAGUAAGGCAGCAUGCUAAAAAUAAACAUACUACGAACAAUCCAGAGAAUGAUACGAAUCGGAACAAUCGGUAUAGACCUAGGCAAACGAAAAAGGACAACGAUUGGAAACUUGGUACUUGGAAAGUUAGGACUCUGCUCGAACCGGCACGCGUGGGCAUCUUGGCCAGAGAGCUACGGAAGGCAAAAGUGGAGGUAGCAGCCAUACAAGAGGUGCGUUGGCCUAAAACCGGGGAACGUGAAUUCCGGGCGGUCGAUCCGACCGCGGGCACUUCUUUCAAGUAUCACAUCUACUACAGUGGCGGCGAUAGAGCGGAACGGGGCGUCGGUUUCGUACUACUUGGAAACCAAAUGAAGCGUGUUAUUAGGUGGAGGCCUAUUAAUGACCGUCUAUGCGUAUUGAGGAUCAAGGGCAGAUUCUUCAAUUACAGCCUUAUCAACGUGUACGCGCCGACAAACGAUAAAACCGAUGACGUAAAGGAGGAGUUCUAUGAGCUCCUCGAGAAAACGUAUGGAGAGUGCCCACAACACGAUAUAAAAAUCUUCAUCGGAGAUACGAACGCACAAGUCGGACGAGAGGAGUUCUUUCGUCCCGUUAUUGGUAGGGAAAGCCUUCCCUCUACCACCAACGACAACGGCUUUAGGCUAGUGAACUUCGCCGCGACCAGGGGAAUGGCCAUCUGUAGCACCCAUUUUGCACGUCUGUAUAUUGGGAAGCACACCUGGAGACACCCCAAUGGAGAGGCCUGCUCCCAGAUCGACCACAUGCUGAUCGACGGCCGGCACUUCUCAGACGUCAUAGAUGUGCGGUCCUUUCGAGGGCCAAUCAUCGACUCGGACCACUAUCUCGUGGUAGGCAAGAUUCGCGCCCGGUUGUCCAAUGUAUUUAAAUCGAGAUAGGCGAGAAAGAUACAUCUGGACAUUCAGAGGUUAUCAGCGGAAGGAGUUGCUGCAGAGUAUACUCGGAAAGUUGAUAGACGGAUCGGUGGACCAGCUGGAGUGGGCCUGAACGAGCAGUGGAAGCACAUCCAUGAUGCGGUCAGCGAAACAGCGCGAGAGGUGAUGGUGGCAUGACAACGGGAACCACGCGUAGUGGGUGGUUCGAUGCUGUGUGCCUAGAGGUGACGGAGGAGAAGAAUCGAGCCUACGCCAACACGUUAGUAGCAGCUAAUCGUGUAACGCGUCAGAUGCGGGAGAAAUACCGGGAGGCAAGAGCUGCCGAAAAGAGGCUUCAUCGCCGUAAGAAACGUGAGCACUACGAUUGCGUCCUCGCGGAGGCGGAGAAUUGCUUCACCAGGCACGACACGAGGAGCUUCUAUAGAACGAUCAACGGAAUCAGAAACCGGACCGUGCCAGUACCUGCCAUGGGCAAUGACAGGGAGGGGAACCUGAUUACCGAUAAAUCGCAGGUGGCCAGGCGUUGGAAGCAACAUUUCGAAGUGGUGUUGAACGGCGAGGAAGGGAAGAGAGUCGUCGAGGGGAACAGGAUAGAAAUUGGGGAGGACGGACAAGCUGUGGAUCCACCAACAUUGGACGAGGUGAAGAAUGCUUGCAACGAGCUAAAAAACAACAAAGCCGCUAGGAAGGACGGCUUACCGGCCGAACUUUUCAAAGUUGGGAGCGAGCGACUGUGUAGUGCAAUUCACCAGAUUAUCCUAAGGGUAUGGUCUGAGGAACAACUACCUACGGACUGGUUGGAAGGACUCAUAUGCCCUAUCUACAAGAAGGGACAUAGACUCGAGUGUAGUAAUUAUCGAGGCAUAACCCUCCUCAAUUCCGCUAAACAAAAUUCUCUCCCGUAUCCUGUUCCAGCGACUGAGGCCGUUGCAGGAAGCCUUUGUUGGAGAAUACCAAUGCGGUUUUCGAGUGGGGCGAUCUACAACGGACCAGAUGUUCACCUUGAGACAGAUCCUCGACAAGUUUCGAGAACACAACCUGAAGACACAUCAUAUGUUUAUGGACUUUCGAGCGGCGUACGAUACAGUGAAACGCAACGAGCUAUGGCAAAUAAUGCUAGAACAUGGUUUCCCAACUAAACUGAUUAAUCUGAUACGUGCGACGCUCGACGGUUUCACAUCAUGCGUCAGGACAGCGGGCGAAUUUUCGGACGCGUUUGUUAGAUGGUUAGAUGGUCUGAAGCAAGGUGACGGGCUCUCGAACUUGCUGUUCAACAUAGCUUUGGAAGGUGCGAUACGAAGGGCAGGUGUGCAGAAGAGCGGCACCAUCAUCAUUAAGUCUCAAAUGCUUCUGGGCUUUGCGGACGACAUUUAUAUAAUUGGUGUUAACCGUAGAGCAGUUGAGGAGGCCUUUACGGCUCUCAAAAGGGAAGCUGCGAGAAUUGGACUCACCAUAAACACUGCCAGAAACGAAGUACAUGGUGGCUGGCAGAGAGCGUGGUAGUUCUACGGGUGUUGGUGCUGCGGUGGAGAUGGAUGGGGAUACUUUCGAAGUGGGCGACGAAUUUAUUUAUCUUGGUACUCUUGUGACAUGUGACAACGAGGUGAGCCGCGAGGUGAAGAGGCGGAUUGCGGCGGCGAAUAGGGCUUAUUACGGAUUGCGUAGCCAGCUUAGGUCCCGUAGCCUACAGAUCCGUACGAAAUUUGCGCUCUAUAGGACUCUGAUCCUCCCGGUGGCGCUCUACGGACAUGAAUCGUGGACGUGGAAGGAGGCCGAUCGACGAGCGCUUGGGGUCUUCGAGCGUAGAAUCCUGCGAUCAAUACUCGGAGGCAAACUAGAGAACGGAGUGUGGCGCAGGCGCUUGAACCACGAGCUGUACGAAGUAUACAAACACGCUGAUAUUGUCAAGCUGAUGAAACACGGCAGGUUACAGUGGGCUGGCCAUGUAGCACGGAUGGCGGAUGAGCGACCGGCAAAGAUAAUAUUUAGUAGAGAACCGGAUAGAGGCCGACGACUUCGAGGCAGACCGCGCACGCGCUGGAUGUGUGCUGUCGACGAGGAUGCCAGAGCAGCGGGUGUAAGGUGAGACUGGAGAGUAGCAGCCCAAGACCGAGUUUUGUGGAGACGUAUUCUGGAUUCGGCAUAGGAUCUUAAUGAUCUGUCGCCAUAAAAGUAAAGUAAAAAUCAUCGCCAUACACUAAUUUGUAGUCGACUCCAAGCUGCAAGACAAUGUCGUUGAAGAAUAAUAUGAACAACAGAGGUUCUAAAUUGCUGCCUCGAGGAACACUGGGAAAGUUUGAUUACUGAUGCGAGUAAAUACUGAAAACAGGGGUGACAUUGCGCAUUUCGUUUCAAGUAACUCGAACAAAACUAAAAGAUCGCUGGUGGCGGUUAUGUUUCGUUUUUCGUAUUUUUUUCGACAUUGCGGGUUAGAUGAGCUGAAAGACAAAUGACUAUGACAGCUCCUUUUGAGCUUAAAGCAGAACUGGCAGUAUUGACGUACUCGAGAACAGCAAAAAUCGUUCGAAUCGAGCUGCACAAUGCCCCCCAGUAAUCAGUGCAAACCGAAGUAAAUCACAGAAGAUAAUUGCAUUGCAGACUCGAUAAAACAGGUGUUAAAGAGGCAAAAUCUACACCCAUUCGGGCCUGAGGAACGCGAGUUGAUGGCAAUAUGCAAUAUUAUGUAUGAAGUCACAAACCACGUAAGGAUUUUUUUAGGAAUUUUCGAAUCAAACAGAAUUGCAGAAUUGAACACAUGUAAAUGAAAUGAAAAAAAUAUAUUUUUCUGCUAGUAACAUUCAAUAAAUUUUCAUGUUUAAUUAGUUUUAUUUCGUUGAGAAAAUUUUACUAAUUUUUGAAAAUAUUCUGAUGUGAACAGAUUGGGUUAUAAAUUAACUUUACAUUUGAUACUUUUAUUUAACCUCUCAGCUGGUCUCGAGGUACGAUGCUUGCUAGAAAACAAGCCAGUCCUUUUAUAUUCGAAUCUUGACUCGGGAGAGACUGUGUGAGAGUCAGAAGGAUCGUAGGGCUAGCCCCGCAAUUGUCCUUAACACUUCACAGAUGGCCGCGAAUUGUGUAUAUAAUAAAAAAAAUCCGAUUGCGGAAUGCAGCACUACGGCAUUGCUUUGCAUAUUUCCAUGCUUACGCUUAUACAGCACAAAAUCGGGUGGCGAUAUGUUUACUUACCCACUGUUGUACAAAACAAUCACCAGAAAGAACAACGGAAAAUUGAGUAAAAUGUGUGUGAAUUAAUUUAAGUGGACACAGCUAUUGUUGUUCGAGUGUAAAUCAACGUUCAGAUAAUAUCAUCCGUUGCAGUCGAUAAUCUCGACAGCAGCGCCAGAAAAUGUGCAUUUGUCAAACUUGGAAACCGCUAAAAUUGUAAAUGAUUGUAUACCAGCGCCGCAAAAUGUAACGUUAUUACAAUUAUUGGUCACUUCGUUUAAUGCACCAGGUAGAGUUAUUAUUUGUUGUGACAUUUACGAAUUUUAAUUAUUUCAAUCGUAUAAAUAAGGUUACAACUGCGUUUAAAAAAUGCCAUGGCUAAUGAAAAUUGCUAAAUUUCGUGGGAAUAGACGUAAAAGCGAUUCAUAAUUGUAGCUGACCCAUAAUUGUGAAGGGACUGUUAUAAAAAAUUCGUGUUAUUGAUUAUUGCUAUCAUUAUACAGUUGAAAGUAUGAAUUUGAAUAUUAACAACUCUGAAAUCAUUUCGUUUGCUGAUUCUGACUUUACGCUACGCCACAGUUAAGUCAAUCGCUAAUAAAAAAACAAAAACAAAUAUUGAAUAACAAUGAUCUUAGGUAAGCGGCCAAGGCAGAAGAGCAAAGUGUCAUCGAAACAGUGACACACAUUUGCCUCAGGUACGGUGACACCUUCGUUCGAUUCACCUGUUAUAAAGAUAGCUUAUGAUGCACGUUAUUUCUCAAAAUGACCAUCAUAAACGCUCACCAGGGUUUUUUUUUUCAUCAACGAACAUGCACUUAGUAUUCGCAAAAAAAAUAUAUUACAUCUGACGUUCAAUUCAAGUCGAUCUGAAUAAGGCAAAUCACUCGUUCACAUCAAUGUGAUAACUUAUUGCGACGAAAGGCACUCUUCUGAAUCAUUUCAUUCGUCUGCUGGUAUGCAUGCCUCGUUCGUGUUGGCAAUGAUUAUGAUGGUACUAGGCAACAAUCGUUAAAUAAGAAAUGAGAGUGCUUGCUUUCUGCGGAACUCGUUGCAUUCGACUCAAUUAACAGAAUGAACUCGGUCAAACUGUAGCUUCUAAUUCAUGGAUAACAAACGAACAGUUAUUUUUUAUCUCUGAAUUGAGGUGUGCAAUUAAGUAAACAUUGCCAAAGCUCUUAUACUCUCCCAAAUACGAACAAUGGUAUUCCGGCCGGCUUUUUCGUUCACACUCCGCGCUUUAAGGGGGUCUCCUUAGCAAUCGGAAGGGGUUUUUUCUAUUUGAGGUGGAAAAAGCGACACAAAAAAUGUUUUUUUACAUUUAUUAAAAGGUGAAUUUAGACAUGAGAUCUAUACAAAAUUACAUUCACUGUAAAGAUGAUUAAAGUACGCUACUAUUCAACAACAUUUAUUGAACCUAAUGCGUUUUUUUAUGAUUUUAAGCGCUUGUGUUACUAUAAAAGUAGCGAAAAUAGAGAUUCAAUAAUAUAUUUGAUGUUUAUUUGUACACAAUUUUUCACAAAAGUGCAUGGUUGAGUUGUUAGCGACGAGCCGCUGAGUAAGAUUUUGUCACAAACUUUUUCAAACCACUGUUAAGUAGACCCCUUUAAUAUCCAUCGAACAUUCUGGCACGUUCAACGCAGAGCGCAGCGUAAAGCCCCUUUCGCCAUAAAUCGAUGAAAAAAAUUAAAGCAGUGACAGUCGUAGGUACGUGAAAACUGAAACUGGGGAUUCCCCAGUCGUGUUUGCCCCACGCUUACAGAUUACUAAUAUAGUUGCAUAAUGAUUUUUUUACAACUGAUUACAUUUCAGUUGGAUAUUCUACCAUCGGAUGUUAACCUUAAACUGCUUUUCGUCGCUGUAUGACAAAUACAGCACCGGCGCGCAAUUUAUUCUUCUUGGGUUCGCACUAUGUGAUUUUUCGAUCGACUAUGUUCUCUCAUUGUCAUCAUGUUCAUUCUAUAACACCAACUUAGUUUCCUGGAACCGAAAUCAUCGUUAAUUGUUCUUCUUUUUUCAUAUUUUAAGUAUCUUUUUUCACAACAAAAACGCAUAUUAUAUCAACCAAUUCUGGGAUUUCAUGAUGCGACUUCGCUAGCAGUGAAUCCGCAAACAUAAAGUUGACUAAUGAUUAGGCCGCCAUAGGUUAAGUAUUUAAAACCGGCUCGUGGUCCAAUGCAAAGCGUGCCAAUCGGCAGCCGGUCAUAGUAAAUAUGCAAAUGUUCCAACAGUAUUGUUUCCACCAUACCAAAUACCAAAACGAAGAGGUUGAAUAAUCCGCAUAAUGUUCGCACAAAUGUGCAAGAAAAUCGAUUCCAACCACACCCUGAUACCAAAGUAAACUCUAAAUUCCGUACUUUUUCAUAGCAGCGCAAUCCAAGAACAGUAAGCAAGAUACUGUUUCCUAACAUCCUGCCUCCAAACCAGAACCGCUGAGGAAACAGAAGAAAAAAAAAACACAAACAAAGCAACACUUGAGUUAUGAUGUCACCCACGGGGUUGCAAUUUGUCGCAUAGUGCAAAGCAAUCAAUUCGGGUCACACCGGCUUUUUUUAGCAUGUGGGCGCGGCCAGCCACCGCGGCGGCGUUGUUUUGGUGACCAUAAACGAAUUCGCACAGAUCACGGCUUUUUCAGCAAUAGCGCUAGCGCGAUGACGAAAUUGUUUAUACCUUAUGAAAGUUUCUCAUUCGAAGGUCGAAGGUCAUCGUCGGAAUCGACCCUUAGAACAGAUGGAUGUCACUAAUGGAUUAGCAAUGACUACUCGGUGAUUGGUUGAAAUUUGAGCGGUAAAAGCCGUAAUGUGAAUUACCUAGAGCUUCAUUUCUGAUGGAUACAGAAGUUUGGCAGCAUGCAAUGAGAGAAUUGAAAGUAGUCUUACUGGAAGUAUUGGUAUUGAAUGAACCUUUACAAAUCUUAAAUUUAGUACUUAUACUCAUCUUUUUUACUGCGUUUAACAUCCCGAAUUUACAAGUGAUUCAAAAAGUUUUGGAAUGCAAGAGAUAAUGACAAUCAAGCUUGUAAGCGGUCAACACUUCCAUUUCAUUUUGCUUCUUUAGUGUGCGUCGCAAAAAGGUUUCGCUCGUAAAUGUAGAACAACCGUCGCUUCCACCCAAAGAACAGAUGGUCAAUUGACACUCACGCAUCGGAGAGAUGCACACUGUCACUCGUUUGGCGAUGUUAUUUUGGCCUAUUUCUGUCUACUCAGUUCUUUUUAUGUUGAGAAAUAUUAUUACAGGAUCAAUGAUAUAAGUAAUUUCCAAAAUUUACACACACAACGUGCGUUAUUCUCAUUGCUAGGAAAAAUGUCAAAAUACGUUUGAGAAAAAAAACGUCGUGGUGGCGAGUGCUUGUUUGACAUGUUUUUUUAAGGGUGGAUUUGUUGGUAGCUUAAGUAUUUAUGAUAAAUAUUAGUAAAUAAUGAGUAUGUGUGUACAAUCACAAAUGGUGACUUCUCAACACUGUUAGAAAUUUGUAAUUUUAGUUGUUAGGAUUUGUUUGCUUUCGCAAUUAGGACUUAUCAUUCGUAGGGAUUUAAACCUACUUGUCAGAAAAGGGGAAGUAAACUUACAACUAACUUAAUUGCUAACUUAUUGGCUAUAAAGAGAGCUUAUCGCAGCAAUUGAGGAUUGCAACGAUUUCUGUCGAAAAUUGUUAAUAAUUUUAUUUGACAUAGCUUCUAGUGGUUCAACACCAGUAAGUCUAUGUAAUUCGAGUGUACCAAACCGAGGAGGACGCUUCAAAAUCAUUUUGGAGCAUUUUCUUCCUUGUUGAACAGCAAUUUGACCAGAUCGGUACAGCAUAAAGCAUUGCUGGUCUAAAAAUUUGUUUGUAAAUUAAAAGUUUGUUCAUUAAACAAAGUUUAGAAUUCCUGUUAAUGAGAGGAUAUGAACAUCUCGUAUAUUUGAUGCACUUGGCUUGUAUACUCUCAAUGUGCUCUUUGAAAAUAAGUUUUUUAUCGUAAAUUAGUCCCAAGCAAGCAUGGAAAAGCUCACUCACUAGCAAUAUUUCAUGCAAAUGUGUUCUUUGAUUCAUCAGUUAUCGUUCAACUAUUUCCACUCGCGUACAAGUUUUCCAUAGAAACGCUGUUGAUUGUUUUUCGCUUCUAAGAGUUCCGACUACCAUAGAAGGAGACUGAAUGAUUCAAACACGAUAGUAUUUAUUGUAUCCAAGCUCACUUGCAUUCAACAUUAUCGCGAGAAUCUUUGAGAAGUUAUCGCCAGUGAUACAAAACUAUGAAUCCAAAUGAACGUUAGAUUGCGUUCAAUUGUUUGCUUACCGGAGGAAGCAGAUAUCAUCAAUGCUAACGGAAAUUGCAGCAUGGUGCAUUAGCAUGGGAUACUUGAUAUCACCAAGAAUUAUCGUGGUAUAUCACGGUGAAAGCACGACGUGGAGUAGCCGAAUUCAGCCUACAAGCAGCCAACAUUUGAAAGAAUCAUUGCGAUCGCUUGAGUGCAAUCGUUUACGAUUCUUUCGUGAAACACUCGCUAGAUGUAGCUCGCUCCGCCUAAAGCAGGCAAUACUGAAACAAAAUCAUCAAAGAAAGCUACCAUAUAUUUCAUUGCUUUAAGUUGUCUAUUGCAAGCUUGAGAAUGUGUAACUUUUAAUAGCGAUGGUUUGCUAGGAUUGAAAGCUUAUAAAUAGCACGUUCAGAAAUGAUACCUGAAAGAUUGUUAUGCGAUACGAGUUUUUCCAUCCUUGGUCCCAAGUACUUAACCUUGUCAGACCAACUUAAAAUAACCCCAUUCAUCUUGACAACGUGAUUAUUGUUUGGCUUGAGGAAAGAAGCCCUAGUCUUAUGGGAAAAAAAUAUCAUUUGAGUUUCAGAAGCAUUGGGAGAGAUUUUCCACUUUUGCAAGUAGGAAGAAAAAAUAUCUAAACAUUUCUGCAAUCGACUGCAUAUGACACGAAGACUUUUUCCUUUUACGGAAAUGCUUCCCGGGCAGGAGAGCAUAACAAAAUCAUAACUCAUCAAUUACAUAUUCAGCUUUGAGGACUUAUUGUGUUAUUCGAAAGAUAUUCAUGUUUCAAAUAUGCAUAUGAAAAUAUCAUAAAAUGUUGAUAUCAUAUCUCGCUAUGCCUUCAAUAAGAUAUUUGAGUUGAUUUUAAAAUAUAUCAUUAAAAAUAAGUUUUUAAGUGAAAAUUGUUCAUUAUAGAUUAUUUAUUGUAUAUCAGUUAUGCAUUCAGUGUUCAAUAUGUUGAAAAUAUAUGAAUCGUGCAUUUUCGUUAUUUUUAAUGCAAAUUAUUGGUUUGUUAUUGAAAUAUCAAGCUUUGUUAUUCAUAUAGUCUUGGAGGAACAAUAUUUUGGUAUUAUUUCUUGUUAUUUUACCAACUAUGUAAACCAUAUUAAGAUCAUAAUGAGGUGUAUUUCCAAUAUCUGGUUGUGAUAUUAUAAUGAUAUUUUCUCCUGCUCGGGUUGUGUCAUCGCAGAACAAUGACUUUAUGCAUCCUGGAGGCCAAUCAGGAAGAUCUUGUUUGACAUGUUUGUUCAAGACAGCGAGCCUUUCCACCGUCAGAAGAAAAAGAAGGCGAUUAUCGCAGCGGAGAAUUGUUCUAUCGUGACCAUUUACAAACCUGGUGGCAAUUUCACGAUAGUUGCGAACGUUAGAUUUCGCACCUGAUUCAAAAAUAUGCACCAAAUAAGAAAAUUUGCAAGUUUCAGGGAAUUUAAAAAAUGAAAGCUUUCAUGGUUGGUAAACACUUGUACUAGUUAGCAUAAAAUAGGGUGUGGUCCAAAGUAUAAUGCCCAGUAACUCGAAUCCCUACCUCCACGUGGUACCGACUGGGAGAAGAGCAACCAAGGGAAGAUCGGUGAACUGGUGAACCGGUGGGAACUUGGUCGUAUGGUGACAGGGAAGGAAAGGAGCUGUUCUCCUAGUAGGGCAGCUUGCCUGAGCGUCUGUUCUUCAUCUUAGGGGCGGCCUAAACAGCGUCUGAUUCGGAGCGGAUGGGUGAAUUAUAAAAUGCAGUGUCUCGCUAGCUACCCCCAAGACGGCAGCCCCGUCGCGAGACUAGGCAUCCACCACGUCGACAUCGUUGCAUUCAGGAGCUUUGCCGGAAGGGAAAGAAGGUACGAAGAAUUUGUGGGCGCAGAGCACAGUACUACUAGAACUGCAGCCCAACCAAUUAGUUGGUUACCAGCUUUAUAGUGCUGGGCAGGAUGCAGAGUCGUGUGAUUAAGUGGCAGGCGAUCAGCCGGUUCUACAACUACACUAUCCUCAAUGUGCACUGCCCUCACGAAGGAAGACUCGAUGUAGCGUUCUACGCACAGCUGGAGAAACUCUACGAUAGCUGCUCGCGUAGAGACACAAACAUCGUCAUCGGGGACAUGAACGCUCAGAUCGGUAAGGAAGACAUAUACAAACCGGUGAUCGGCCCGCACAGCCUGCACACCGUGACAAACGACAACGGCCAGCAAUGCGUCAACUUCGCAGCUUCCCGAGGACUGGUAGUCCGAAGUACCUUCUUUCCCCGAAAGACAUCCACAAAACCAAAAACCAAAUUGACCAUGUUCUUUUCAGACAUUACAAACGUACGCACCAAUGUCGGUGAGGAUAUUGGCUCGGACCACUACCAAGUUGCGGUAUCUUUGCACUCAAAACUGUCGACCGUAUACCACGCGACGACACCGUAAAUGAGAUGAACCGGACCUGGGCGAUAUACCUGAGCAGGUCAACGGGAGAAAAAAAGGCCAUUUACAAACGGGCACGGAACGACAUGACCACGAUUCUCAAACGAAAGAAGCGCCAGUAAGAGGAUCGUGAACAUGAGAAGCUGAAGCAGCUUUACCAUGCCAGUGAUUCGCGGAAGUUCUACGAGAAGGUUAACCAGUUUCGCAGACGCUAUGUGCCGCAAGCCGAAAUGUGCAACGACGCGGAUGGGAACCUUCUCACGGAUGCCAGCGAGGUGGUUGACAGGUAGAAGGAGUACUCCGAAGGACACCUAAAUUGCGAUACAAUAAACAGAAGCGGAGCAGGAACUGACCUGGGAGCACCAGAAUAAGAUGACCGAGUAUCAGCUCCCGAAACUUAUGAAGUUCUUUGUGAGAUCAGAAGGCUGAAGAACAACAAAGCCGCAGGCGAAGACGUACUGUCGAACGAGCUCUUUAAACAUGGGAAAGAAGCGCUGUCUAGAGCGUUGCAAUGAGUCAUUUUCAGGAUUUGGGAGGAAGAAAAAUUGCCAGACGAGUUUGUGGAGGGAGUCGUCUAUCCCAUUUACGAGGAAGGCGACCAGCUGAAGUGCCGCAACUACCGCGGUAUCUCGUUCAUCAAUGCCGCCUACAAAAUACUCUCACAUAUCCUGUUCCGCCGCAUAUCACCUUCAACCAGGAGGUUCGUGGGCCAGUACCAAGCGGGCUUGAUGGGAGCCCGUGCCACCACGGACCAUAUCUUGUCAAUCCGACAGAUCUUACAGAAAUGUCGCAAGUACAACGUGCCCACACAUCACAUCCAUCGACUUCACGACGACCUAUAUUACGGUCGAUCGAAAAAGCUAUGGCAAGCGUGUUUUCCGGGGAGACUACCGAGCCCCUUUGAAUCGCGCAGAGGGUUAAGGCAAGGUGAUGGACUUUCCUGUUUACUGUCAAACAUCGCCCUUAAGGGUGUGAUCCGAAGGGGGGGUAUCGACACGAGGGGCACGAUUUUCACAACGUCUGUUUAACUUCUGGGCUUCGCGGAUGACUGUGACGUCAUAAUACGUAACUUUGUGACGGCAGAGGAAACUUACUGAAAGUCGAAGCCGGACGAAUCGGACUACGGAUAAAUAUACGGUGAUGAGCUGGUAACCGCCGACAAUACGAUCGGUAGUCCUCUACGGAAUCGAGACAACAACGCUUCUCACGAGUUUUCGAACGGAAGGUGCUGCGGACUAUCUCCGCUGUAGUACAGACGGAUGAAGGAGAAUGACGACGGCGCAUGAACUAUGAGCUGCACGCGCUGCUUGGAGAGAACCCCAAUGCACAUCUGGCGAAAGUCAAUAGCUUGCGGUGGGCCGGUCACGCCGUAAGGAUGCCGGACGACAACCCUGUGAAAUCACUUCCCUUCAGCAACCCUGCCGGCACCGGAAAAAGAAAGGCUCCAGAUCGAAGGAGACUUGCGGAUGAUAAGACGCCUGGGGAACUGGCGAAACACAGCCCAAAACCGAACAAAAUGGUGAUAACUCGUCUCUCGUCUGAUUGGUAAGGUAAGUACAAAACCUCCCAAAAUCACAAUACCCUCGCUCCGUUGACACGGUAAAGUAUGCGAUCUUUCUCGAUCGCGCUCGCGCCGACUGGUAACGUGCCGAACAGCACCCGUAUUUCUACGCGCCAAAGAAGGCAACCAGAGGAGGCAUGCGCGCGCUGGCAGCUGGGUGUACCUGAGGAAAUCCUCGUACGGCGCAACUUAACAUAAUAAAUAUAAGAUCGCUUAGCCGAACCAA